GACGAACGCUGGCGGCGUGCCUAAUACAUGCAAGUAGAACGAGUUGCGAACGGGUGAGUAAUGUCUGGGAAACUGCCCGAUGGAGGGGGAUAACUACUGGAAACGGUAGCUAAUACCGCAUACCAUCGGAUGUGCCCAGAUGGGAUUAGCUAGUCAGUGGGGUAACGGCUCACCUAGGCGACGAUCCCUAGCUGGUCUGAGAGGAUGAACAGCCAAACGGGAACUGAGACACGGUCCAGACUCCUACGGGAGGCAGCAGUGGGGAAUAUUGCACAAUGGGCGAAAGCCUGAUGCAGCCAGGCCGCGUGUAUGAAGAAGGCAUUCGGGUUGUAAAGUACAUAAAGCGAGGAGGCGUUACUCGCAGAAGAAGCACCGGCUAACUCCGUGCCAGCCGCCGCGGUAAUAC
rnacentral:rRNA from 1 species